CCUACGGGCGGCAGCAGUAGGGAAUCUUCCACAAUGGGCGAAAGCCUGAUGGAGCAACGCCGCGUGGGUGAAGAAGGUCUUCGGAUCGUAAAACCCUGUUGUUAGAGAAGAAAGUGCGUGCGAGUAACUGUUCCCGUUUCGACGGUAUCUAACCAGAAAGCCCCGGCUAACUACGGGCCAGCAGCCGCGGUAAUACGUAGGUGGCAAGCGUUAUCCGGAUUUAUUGGGCGUAAAGGGAACGCAGGCGGUCUUUUAAGUCUGGUGUGAAAGCCUUGGGUUUAACCGGGGGAGUGCAGUGGAAACUGGGGGACUUGAGUGCAGAAGAGGAGAGUGGAACUCCAGGUGUAGCGGUGAAAUGCGUAGAUAUAUGGAAGAACACCAGUGGCGAAGGCGGCUCUCUGGGCUGUAACUGACGCUGAGGUUCGAAAGCGUGGGUAGCAAACAGGAUUAGAUACCCCUGUAGUC
rnacentral:rRNA from 1 species